rfam:Triticum aestivum genome assembly, contig: Triticum_aestivum_CS42_TGACv1_scaffold_080430_1DS
UGUCUGUUGUGAUGAACCACAACGGUAUGUCACUAAGGUUAGCUUUUUAAAAAGGCCUCCUUCCUUGAUUACACAUCCUAAACUGAUCAUAUAUUCUGAGCAAACA